rnacentral:rRNA from 1 species
UACGAAGGUGGCUAGCGUUGUUCGGAAUCACUGGGCGUAAAGCGCACGUAGGCGGAUUUGUUAGUCAGGGGUGAAAUCCCGGGGCUCAACCUCGGAACUGCCUUUGAUACUGCAAAUCUCGAGUCCGGAAGAGGUGAGUGGAAUUCCUAGUGUAGAGGUGAAAUUCGUAGAUAUUAGGAAGAACACAAGUGGCGAAGGCGGCUCACUGGUCCGGUACUGACGCUGAGGUGCGAAAGCGUGGGGAGCAAACAGG